rnacentral:tRNA from 1 species
AAUUUUAUAGUUUAAUUUAAAAAAUAUUAGAUUGCAAUUCUAAUGAUAUGAACCUUUGUUUA